AUUGAACGCUGGCGGAAUGCUUUACACAUGCAAGUCGAGCGGCAGCGCGGGGCAACCUGGCGGCGAGCGGCGAACGGGUGAGUAAUACAUCGGAACGUACCCAGUUGUGGGGGAUAGCCCGGCGAAAGCCGGAUUAAUACCGCAUACGACCUGAGGGUGAAAGCGGGGGAUCGCAAGACCUCGCGCAAUUGGAGCGGCCGAUGGCGGAUUAGCUAGUUGGUAGGGUAAAGGCCUACCAAGGCGACGAUCCGUAGCGGGUCUGAGAGGACGGCCCGCCACACUGGAACUGGGACACGGUCCAGACUCCUACGGGAGGCAGCAGUGGGGAAUUUUGGACAAUGGGGGAAACCCUGAUCCAGCCAUUCCGCGUGAGUGAAGAAGGCCUUCGGGUUGUAAAGCUCUUUCGGCAGGAACGAAACGGUGGGUCCUAAUACGAUCUGCUAAUGACGGUACCUGAAGAAGAAGCACCGGCUAACUACGUGCCAGCAGCCGCAGUAA
rnacentral:rRNA from 1 species